rnacentral:lncRNA from 1 species
UACGUUCCUUGCGUUCUCAGCCUAUCUUGGCUGUAGAAGCAUGUUUCAAUGAUCAGUAUAGAUGUUCGAAGUAAGUAAUAAGUGCUGGUAUUGAUGGUUUACUGUAUGUUUCAGGAUGGAGACCUGUUCAAAAAAAAUCCGCAUUGAAACUUUCAAGAGAAACAACUCAGAACCUACACUCUCUCCCACAGACCUCCAGUGACUUCCAUGGACACAGAGAGGUGGCAGUUAUUUUGCAUCUCAGGUAACCAACCAGCACUUGAUGAUGCAAAGAGGAUGCUGCGUCUUUUGCUUCCUGUUUACCUGGGAGGAGGUGUGAAAUGAAGUGCUAACGGCAGGGCACUGGAGAAAGUUUCAGUGGUAAUGUGUUUCUUGAGGAGGAAAAGCUUUCACCUGACGCAUUUCCUUGCCUGGAUUUGAGUCACACUGUGCUAUCUUAAACCGCCCUGGCUUUGCUUUUGAGAGAACCUAAAUUGAGUUGUCCUUGAUGGAUUCCCCUCAUCCUGCCUCUGGGAUCCUGUGCUCUCCUUCAGUUCCUGAGCCUCCUCUGCAGAAUCCUGUUGGGAAUUAAUCCAUGUCUUCCCUGAGUUUCCCUGUUUCAAUAAAUCCUCCGUAUACUGUAUCUAAUUUCUUCUGAAUUGAGGUGGGUGGUUGUAAAGCUAACCUGGUAGAAAAAUUUUUGUUAAGGAAUGUGCUACUAAUAGUGUCACAUUUAUACCUCUGGGAGCAUUUACAUUUUAAAGAGAAACUUUGAUGACUUUCCUCUAAGCAGGAAUUCCUGAGAGUAGAUGGAGGGAGCUGUUCUAAUGAGAACAACUUCUCCCACCUUCUCAGAUCACAUCCUGAAGGUGAUUGUCUUCUCUCACCCAUGAGACAAUCUUGUGUUGGCCAUUUCCCCAACUUAUAUUGUGUUGUAUCUCUACUGCAGACAAUGGUUAAAUUAUAAAUGUUAUAUCUAAGUGUGGACUUAAGAUAAUGAAUUAAUGUAAUGAAUUAAGUUGCAUUGAAAGAAACAUAAAUGUGGGAAUGUUUUGAUGACCAGAAGAGAGCAGAUGUUACUGCAAGGCUCCAGGAAGAGACUGGAGCAGGUACAAUAAGGAAAAGGUUAAAGCUAGAAACAAGAAACAGUAAGGGAUAAAAUACACAAAGGACUGGACAAAAGCAGUCACUUGGAACACAUCCUUGGGGAGGUAAAUUCUGUAAUAAAGGUUUGUUGAAUAAAUUAAUGCAUGAAUAGACAAUUUUUCCUUUCACAUCAGGAAAGAAUAUACAUGUGUCAUGUUUACCACGGUCCUUGUAACAUGGUGUGCUGAUUUCAAAAGUACAUCUACAAAUUCUUUGCUACUCCUCCGUUCAAGAGUUGGAGACUAAUUCCCCUUCCCUGAGUAUGGGCUAGAUUUAGUGACUUGCCUCUAAGGAAUAGAUUGAAAUGCAAGUGAUGGUGUGCAACUUUGGAGAACAGGUCAUACAAAGGCACUGUGGCUUCUGCCUUGCUUACGCCUCUCAAAUUGUUCCCUUGGGGGAAGUCAGUGGCCAUGUUGCUCUAUGGAGAGGCCCACCUGGUGAGGAACUUAAGCCUCCCAACAAGAGCCACGUGCUUGAGCUUGGAAGCUUUCUGAUUACUGCAGCCUGCAUGUCUCCCCACCAACAGGCUGACUCCAGCCUCAUGAUAGUCCCUGAGCCAGAAGGAUCUAAGUGAACUCCUUCGGAAUUCCUGACCCUCCGAAACUGGGAGAGAUAAUAAAUACUUGUUUUAAACUGUUAAGCUGCUAGAUUUUAGGGUAAUUUGUACAAUAGAUAAGUUUUAAUUAGUAAUUUGUACAACAAGAAUAGAUUAAUAUACAGGGCACAACCUCAAUGGUAGUGGUGGUAGUGGUUGUGAUGAUAAUGAUGAUGAUGAUGAUGAUGAUAAUGAUGAAGAUGAAGAUCUUGGCGAUGGAAGAGGAGGAGGAAGGUGGUGGUAUUAGCCCAAAACAAGUAUUACUCCCUGUUUGGGAGAAGAGACAAAUCUUUCUUAUAAACCCUUUUCAUAAUUUUUUCUUCGGCUUUUGUCCGAACUAUGAGACAGAGAGUGCUGUGAUGUCGCUUCAGCGGUGUGCUCUUGCUGGCGACUGGAAAAGCUUUAUUUGUUUUUGGCUGUGCUGCAUUCUCCCCUGGGACCCUGACUCUGUGACACUUUAUGAGAGGAUACACGCAGUGAUGUUUCACUUCAUACAGAGCUCUGCCUCGGUGUCAAGAGAAAUGGUCUUUCACUCUCUUUGUGAAAGUACAAGGCUCUGAGCAGUGUUAGUCUUACCAAAAUUACAUGUCUAGGACAAAAUUCAGAUGCAAUCUAGAGAUAUGUGCUUGCUUAUGCAUAAAUGACUGCUAUAACUUCUGACAUCUUCAG